CUUGGAGUGAGAUGGGAUGCUUGGAGUGAGAUGGGAUGCUUGGAGUGAGAUGGGAUGCUUGGAGGGAGAUGGGAUGCUUGGAGUGAGAUAGGAUGCUUGGAGUGAGAUGGGAUGCUUGGAGUGAGAUGGGAUGCUUGGAGUGAGAUGGGAUGCCUGGAGGGAGCUGGAGUGCUCAGAGGAAGGUGCACGGGGGCAGAGGAGGUGCUGGGAGCCCAAGUGUGUGCUCAGGGACCGUGUCCAUGCUCUGACCCCUUCCCCUUUGUCUCCCUCCUCAUCAGGAAUCCCGCGGCCGCCGCACCCCUCGGAGCUGCCCCCCUAUUACCCCCUGUCACCGGGAGCCGUGGGGCAGAUCCCGCACCCGCUGGGCUGGCUCGUGCCGCAGCAAGGGCAGCCCGUGUACUCCAUCCCUCCCGGCGGCUUCCGGCAUCCCUACCCUGCCCUCGCCAUGAACGCCUCCAUGUCCAGUUUGAUGUCCAGCCGCUUCUCCCCACACAUGGUCCCCCCCCCGACCCAUGGGCUGCACCCCUCGGGCAUCCCCCAUCCCACCAUCGUCUCACCCAUCGUGAAGCAGGAGCCCACCCAGCCCAGCGUCAGCCCCGGAGGCAACACGUGAGUGUGGGGCAGGAGCUCAUCCCCUGUGUG
rnacentral:lncRNA from 14 species